rnacentral:rRNA from 1 species
ACCCAGACUCCUACGGGAGGCAGCAGUGGGGGAUAUUGCACAAUGGGGGAAACCCUGAUGCAGCGACACCGCGUGGGUGAAGAAGCGCUUCGGCGUGUAAAGCCCUAUCAGUGGGGAAGAAAAAGGACGGUACCCAAAGAAGAAGCACCGGCUAACUACGUGCCAGCAGCCGCGGUAAUACGUAGGGGGCAAGCGUUAUCCGGAUUUACUGGGUGUAAAGGGGGCGCAGACGGCAGCGCAAGCCAGGAGUGAAAGCCCGGGGCCCAACCCCGGGACUGCUCUGGAAACUGCGGCGCUGGAGUACGGGAGGGGCAGGCGGAAUUCCUGGUGUAGCGGUGAAAUGCGUAGAUAUCAGGAGGAACACCGGCGGCGAAGGCGGCCUGCUGGACCGUGACUGACGUUGAGGCUCGAGAGCGUGGGGAGCAAACAGGAUUAGAUACCCGUGUA